CAAAGGAAGCGAACCCUCCUUCCCCUUCCUAUCGUGCACUCUUCUUCCUCCUUCCCCUCUCCCCAAAUAUCCACACAGAGAAGGCAGGAGGACCAAACCCUAGCCGCCGCGCCCCGAUCCGAUGGCGCCGUCCCCGUCCCCACCGCCGCCGCCGGCGAGCGGAGCGCAGUACGCGCACCAGUUCCUCAACACCGCCCUCUCCCAGCGCGGGCCGUCGGCGCUCCCCUACGCGGAGGACGUCAAGUGGCUCAUCCGCAACCACCUCGUGGCCCUCGCCGACGCCUUCCCCUCGCUCCACCCCAAGGCGGCCCUCUUCACCCACAACGACGGCCGCGCCGCGCACCUGCUCCAGGCCGACGGCACCGUCCCCAUCCACCACGCCGGGGCCACCUACAACCUGCCCGCCGUCAUCUGGCUGCCCGAGACCUACCCGCGCUCCCCGCCCCUCGUCUUCCUCUCCCCCACCCGCGACAUGCUCAUCAAGCCCCACCACCCGCUCGUCGACCGCUCCGGCCUCGUCGCCAACGCGCCCUACCUCCGCUCCUGGGUCUUCCCCUCCUCCAACCUCCUCGACCUCGUCAGAUCCCUCUCCCACCUCUUCGGCCUCGACCCGCCGCUCUUCACCAGAUCCGUCGCAGCCCCGUCUCCCACUCCUCCGCCCGCUCAUCCUGCUCCUCCUCCCGCCGCCGCCUCCCCCGCCAUGCGCCCCGAGGCCGUCUAUGCUCCUGCACCUCGCCCAUACAGGUUCCCGGCAUCGCCCCAGCUCGCCGCGCGCCAGCCGCCCACAGAGGACCCAGCCGAGGUCUUCAAGCGCAACGCCAUCUCCAAGCUCGUCGACACUGCCUAUGCUGAUGCUGCUGCCCUGCGCACCGCCCGUGAGGCUGAGGUCGACUCCCUCUUCGCCGUGCAGGCCGAGCUGCGUGGCCGGGGGGAGGCGGUGAACGACGGGGUGCGCAGGAUCACGGAGGAGAAGGAGACGCUCGAGCGCCGGCUUCAGGACGUGGUGAUGGCCACUGACGUCAUUGAGGCCUGGGUUGCCGAGAACCGCAAGGGGGCUGCUGAUGACACCGCCGAGGCGGAGGGGGCUAUCCAGCCGGCCGAUGUGCUGUCCAGGCAGAUGCUUGAGUGCACAGCUACUGAUUUGGCUCUCGAGGACACCAUCUAUGCGCUCGACAAGGCUGUGCAGGAAGGAUCGGUGCCGUUCGACGGCUACCUCAGGAGCGUGCGCGCACUUGCACGGGAGCAGUUCUUCCAGCGUGUCCUCUGCACCAAGGUUAACAAUGCGCAGCAGCAGGCACAGGUUGCUAGAAUGGCAGCACGGGCACCACAGUACGCCUCCUAGCCAAGAUGAUGGAUAGGGCUCGGUGGCGUGUUCAUCAAUACCCCCAACUGCUGUGGCAUCAACCGUUCCUGAUAUAAUUCAGACUGUCUUGUCCAGGCGAUCCAGGAUGCUUUCCUUUGAUAAAAAAAUCAUCUGUGCCAUCUCAUAUGAGUGAUCUUGCCCCCACAGUGUUCUGGAUAUACAGAUCACGUUGAUAAAGUGACGAGACCCUGGACAAGAUUCAUGGAACCUAUUUUGGGAGUUCAGCCCUGAGUUCACGGUGUUCAAGAUGCAGGUGUGGUGAAACCGAAGAACAGUGUUCAAGACGUUUUUACUUGUAUGAACAGUGGUACUAUUGCUGCGUUCACUGGGGUUUACAAGAAGUCCCACUCAGCCAGGCUUGGACCUUUGCUGUUCUAGAGGUUUUACCAGAAAAAUGUAUUCCUUGCUACAGUUUCUGUCUAAAUCUUGAUAAUAGGCAGCUUCAUUCAAUCAUUUGAGGAUUGUUCGGUACAAA